AUUGAACGCUGGCGGCAGGCCUAACACAUGCAAGUCGAACGAGUGGCGGACGGGUGAGUAAUGUCUGGGAAACUGCCCGCUGGAGGGGGAUAACUACUGGAAACGGUAGCUAAUACCGCAUACCAUCGGAUGUGCCCAGAUGGGAUUAGCUAGUAGGUGGGGUAACGACUCACCUAGGCGACGAUCCCUCGCUGGUCUGAGAGGAUGACCAGCCAACCUGGAAUGGAUACAAGGUCCAGACUCCUACGGGAGGCAGCAGUGGGGAAUAUGGCAUAAUGGGCGAAAGCCUGCUGCGGCCAUGCCGCGUGUAUGAAGAAGGCCUUCGGGUUGUAAAGUACUUUCAGCGAGGAGGCGUUACUCGCAGAAGAAGCACCGGCUAACUCCGUGCCAGCAGCCGCGGUAAUUC
rnacentral:rRNA from 1 species